AGCUUGGUCUACAGAGUGAGUUCCAGAAACCCUGUCUCGAAAAAACGAAAAAAAAAGAAAUUCAAGGACUGUGUCUGGGCUGCAUAACAAGACCUUGUCUCAACACACACACACACAUACACACACACAGGCUAAAUAUUAACUACAUGUGACGUAGGCCAAAGUCUCUGUAAGUUGUAAUUUCAUAGGUCUUGUCAGGUGUAUUUCAGCAGUCUCUGGCUUCAGCAAGUGCGCCAUUAAUUCUGACUUGAUAGUGCCCAGUGAGCAUGGCCUGUGCUGCCUUGUGGUAGAACCAUGCGUAUAUACAUCAAAGGGAUCAGAUUCCUUUUGUCAAUUUUGGCAUUUCAGAAUGGAUUUUUAAACACCAGUCAAGGAUAGGUCAGUGUUGGCUGAUACCACAUGCUUAGACUGUGUGAGAACCCUUGUCCAGUCUCCAGCACCUUCACUUUGAGAGACAGUAAAAUCCUUUCCUUCAGAAGUGGUGAUCCUGCUGUGUUCUGCAAGUCUACCAAAGAUUCUUGUGAGGAGUUUCUCAGCGCCUGUGUGUGCAGACAUGUACCCUCCUGCUUCCUUCACGGUGUUAGCUCCAGCCCCUCCGCUUAGUCAUCUGCAGAGGGCUAAGACAGGACCGCAGGCAGCUGGCACAAGCAACUCUGUUCCCUUUGCCAAAACCUCCAAAGUUAGAAAUGAAGUUGUUUGCGUCUGUGGUGAGGGAAUUGACCAGCCAUUGCUUCAGCCUCCUUCCCGAGUAAGCACCUUCUUGGUGCCUGGGUAGCCCUGGGAGGACAGUGGUGACCUGCACCACAAAACCUGCAAGACAUUAUUUUGAAUGGAACAUUUGAUGUCAUUUUUAGGGAACAGAAACCAAAUAACAGAGGCCAAGGACCAUGCGUAUUUCAAGGAGGGAAGAUGAGCGCCCUCUGCUGGCAGUAUUUGUAGUUGAUUGAGUGAGGAGCUCUAAGCAGCCUGGAAGGAGUGCUGAGGUCAGCAGGCCUCAGGAAUCCUUAACAUGCAAACAAUCUUGAGGGGAAACCAGAAGGUCAUUCCUAGCAGUUACUGUAAUACCUCUCAUUGCAGGCUGUUGGGUUUCUGUCGUUCACUCGGUGUGAUUUAUCUUAUGUAUCUGAUAGUUUUUAUGGAUAAUUGUUUGGGUUGUAAACUCCUAUACUCUUUAUUAAAAUGAACCUAAUU
rnacentral:lncRNA from 1 species